UACGGAGGGUGCGAGCGUUGUCCGGAAUUACUGGGCGUAAAGCGUGCGCAGGCGGCUUUGCAAGACAGAUGUGAAAUCCCCGGGCUCAACCUGGGAACUGCAUUUGUGACUGCAUGGCUAGAGUGCGGCAGAGGGGGAUGGAAUUCCGCGUGUAGCAGUGAAAUGCGUAGAUAUGCGGAGGAACACCGAUGGCGAAGGCAAUCCCCUGGGCCUGCACUGACGCUCAUGCACGAAAGCGUGGGGAGCAAACAGG
rnacentral:rRNA from 1 species